rnacentral:tRNA from 1 species
UAGUGUAAUGGAAAGCACGGCAGACCGGAUAUCUGUAAGUGCGGGUUUGAGUCCCGC